GACGAACGCUGGCGGCACGCUUAACACAUGCAAGUCGAACGAGAGAAGAGGAGCUUGCUUUUCUGAUCUAGUGGCGGACGGGUGAGUAACACGUGAGCAAUCUGCCUUUCAGAGGGGGAUACCGAUUGGAAACGAUCGUUAAUACCGCAUAAUAUAAUUGAACCGCAUGAUUUGAUUAUCAAAGAUUUAUCGCUGAAAGAUGAGCUCGCGUCUGAUUAGCUAGUUGGUAAGGUAACGGCUUACCAAGGCGACGAUCAGUAGCCGGACUGAGAGGUUGAUCGGCCACAUUGGGACUGAGACACGGCCCAGACUCCUACGGGAGGCAGCAGUGGGGAAUAUUGCACAAUGGAGGAAACUCUGAUGCAGCGAUGCCGCGUGAGGGAAGAAGGUUUUAGGAUUGUAAACCUCUGUCUUCAGGGACGAAAAAAGACGGUACCUGAGGAGGAAGCUCCGGCUAACUACGUGCCAGCAGCCGCGGUAAUACGUAGGGAGCGAGCGUUGUCCGGAAUUACUGGGUGUAAAGGGAGCGUAGGCGGGAUCGCAAGUCAGAUGUGAAAACUAUGGGCUUAACCCAUAAACUGCAUUUGAAACUGUGGUUCUUGAGUGAAGUAGAGGUAAGCGGAAUUCCUAGUGUAGCGGUGAAAUGCGUAGAUAUUAGGAGGAACAUCAGUGGCGAAGGCGGCUUACUGGGCUUUAACUGACGCUGAGGCUCGAAAGCGUGGGGAGCAAACAGGAUUAGAUACCCUGGUAGUCCACGCCGUAAACGAUGAUUACUAGGUGUGGGGGGAGUGACCCCUUCCGUGCCGCAGCAAACGCAAUAAGUAAUCCACCUGGGGAGUACGACCGCAAGGUUGAAACUCAAAGGAAUUGACGGGGGCCCGCACAAGCAGUGGAGUAUGUGGAUUAAUUUGAAGCAACGCGAAGAACCUUACCAGGUCUUGACAUCGUAUGCAUAGCUCAGAGAUGAGUGAAAUCUCUUCGGAGACAUAUAGACAGGUGGUGCAUGGUUGUCGUCAGCUCGUGUCGUGAGAUGUUGGGUUAAGUCCCGCAACGAGCGCAACCCUUACUGUUAGUUGCUACGCAAGAGCACUCUAGCAGGACUGCCGUUGACAAAACGGAGGAAGGUGGGGAUGACGUCAAAUCAUCAUGCCCCUUAUGACCUGGGCCUCACACGUACUACAAUGGCUGUCAACAGAGGGAAGCAAAGCCGCGAGGUGGAGCGAACCCCUAAAAGCAGUCUUAGUUCGGAUUGUAGGCUGCAACCCGCCUACAUGAAGUCGGAAUUGCUAGUAAUCGCAGAUCAGCAUGCUGCGGUGAAUAAGUUCCCGGGCCUUGUACU
rnacentral:rRNA from 1 species